GGAUGUGGCUCAGCUCUGCAGGAAGCCGCGGCGUGUAAGGCGAGGGCUUUCCUUGUUCCUUGCGCUCGCACUUCGCCUCCCGUAGGAUCCUCUACUUUGUUUCAGACGGGGAAGCUGCAGGCGCCCAGACGCAGUGAUUCGCCCAAGGCCGCUCAUUCAGGAGAUAGUGUCUGCCUUCUGGAGAGCUGACCAAACACUAAGGAUGCUGAAGUUCCGAACAGUCCAUGGGGGCCUGAGGCUCCUGGGAAUCCGCCGAACCUCCACCGCCCCCGCUGCCUCCCCAAAUGUCCGGCGCCUGGAGUAUAAGCCCAUCAAGAAAGUCAUGGUGGCCAACAGAGGUGAGAUUGCCAUCCGUGUGUUCCGGGCCUGCACGGAGCUGGGCAUCCGCACCGUAGCCAUCUACUCUGAGCAGGACACGGGCCAGAUGCACCGGCAGAAAGCAGAUGAAGCCUAUCUCAUCGGCCGCGGCCUGGCCCCCGUGCAGGCCUACCUGCACAUCCCAGACAUCAUCAAGGUGGCCAAGGAGAACAACGUAGAUGCAGUACACCCUGGCUACGGGUUCCUCUCUGAGCGAGCGGACUUCGCCCAGGCCUGCCAGGAUGCAGGGGUCCGGUUUAUUGGGCCAAGCCCAGAAGUGGUCCGCAAGAUGGGAGACAAGGUGGAGGCCCGGGCCAUCGCCAUUGCUGCGGG
rnacentral:sRNA from 1 species